rnacentral:rRNA from 1 species
AGAGUUUGAUCAUGGCUCAGAUUGAACGCUGGCGGCAUGCCUAACACAUGCAAGUCGAACGGCAGCACGGGGGCAACCCUGGUGGCGAGUGGCGGACGGGUGAGGAAUGCAUCGGAAUCUGCCUCGUUGUGGGGGAUAACGUAGGGAAACUUACGCUAAUACCGCAUACGACCUACGGGUGAAAGUGGGGGACCGCAAGGCCUCACGCGAUGAGAGGAGCCGAUGCCGGAUUAGCUAGUUGGCGGGGUAAAGGCCCACCAAGGCGACGAUCCGUAGCUGGUCUGAGAGGAUGAUCAGCCACACUGGAACUGAGACACGGUCCAGACUCCUGCGGGAGGCAGCAGUGGGGAAUAUUGGACAAUGGGCGCAAGCCUGAUCCAGCAAUGCCGCGUGGGUGAAGAAGGCCUUCGGGUUGUAAAGCCCUUUUGUACGGGAAGAAAACCUGUCCGUUAAUACCGGGCGGGAAUGACGGUACCGUAAGAAUAAGCACCGGCUAACUUCGUGCCAGCAGCCGCGGUAAUACGAAGGGUGCAAGCGUUAAUCGGAAUUACUGGGCGUAAAGCGUGCGUAGGCGGUUUCUUAAGUCCGUUGUGAAAGCCCUGGGCUCAACCUGGGAAUUGCAGUGGAUACUGGGAGGCUAGAGUCAGGUAGAGGGUGGUGGAAUUCCCGGUGUAGCGGUGAAAUGCGUAGAGAUCGGGAGGAACAUCCGUGGCGAAGGCGGCCACCUGGACCAUGACUGACGCUGAGGCACGAAAGCGUGGGGAGCAAACAGGAUUAGAUACCCUGGUAGUCCACGCCCUAAACGAUGCGAACUGGAUGUUGGGCUCAACUCGGAGCUCAGUGUCGAAGCUAACGCGUUAAGUUCGCCGCCUGGGGAGUACGGUCGCAGACUGAAACUCAAAGGAAUUGACGGGGGCCCGCACAAGCGGUGGAGUAUGUGGUUUAAUUCGAUGCAACG